rnacentral:rRNA from 1 species
GACGAACGCUGGCGGCGUGCCUAAUACAUGCAAGUUGAGCGAUGAAGAUUGGUGCUUGCACCCAUUUGAAGAGCAGCGAACGGGUGAGUAACGCGUGGGGAAUCUGCCUUUGAGCGGGGGACAACAUUUGGAGACGAAUGCUAAUACCGCAUAACAACUUUAAACAUAAGUUUUAAGUUUGAAAGAUGCAAUUGCAUCACUCAAAGAUGAUCCCGCGUUGUAUUAGCUAGUUGGUGAGGUAAAGGCUCACCAAGGCGAUGAUACAUAGCCGACCUGAGAGGGUGAUCGGCCACAGUGGGACUGAGACACGGCCCAAACUCCUACGGGAGGCAGCAGUAGGGAAUCUUCGGCAAUGGACGAAAGUCUGACCGAGCAACGCCGCGUGAGUGAAGAAGGUUUUCGGAUCGUAAAACUCUGUUGGUAGAGAAGAACGUUGGUGAGAGUGGAAAGCUCAUCAAGUGACGGUAACUACCCAGAAAGGGACGGCUAACUACGUG